UACGGAGGGUGCAAGCGUUAUCCGGAUUCACUGGGCUUAAAGGGUGCGUAGGCGGAUUGGUAAGUCCGUGGUGAAAUCCCCGAGCUUAACUUGGGAACUGCCGUGGAUACUAUCAGUCUUGAAUAUCGUGGAGGUAAGCGGAAUAUGUCAUGUAGCGGUGAAAUGCUUAGAUAUGACAUAGAACACCAAUUGCGUAGGCAGCUUACUACUCGAUCAUUGACGCUGAGGCACGAAAGCGUGGGGAGCAAACAGG
rnacentral:rRNA from 1 species